GACGAACCGUGCAAACGUUGUUCGGAAUCACUGGGCUUAAAGGGCGCGUAGGCGGUCGAUCACGUCCGGGGUGAAAUCUUUCGGCUUAACCGGAAAAGGGCCUUGGAUACGGAUCGGCUGGAGGGAGGUAGGGGCAGGUGGAACUUCCAGUGGAGCGGUGAAAUGCGUUGAUAUUGGAAGGAACGCCGGUGGCGAAAGCGACCUGCUGGACCUCUUCUGACGCUGAGGCACGAAAGCGUGGGGAUCAAACAGG
rnacentral:rRNA from 1 species